CAUCCUGGGGCUGGACAAGGUCCCAAGGGUCGGGCUGUUCGCCCGUUAAAGCGGUACGCGAGCUGGGUUCAGACCGUCGUGAGACAGGUCGGUCUCUAUCCGCUGUGGGCGUAAGGGAUUUGAAGGGAGCUGCUCCUAGUACGAGAGGACCGGAGUGGACAGACCUCUAGUGUGCCAGUUGUUCCGCCAGGAGCAUCGCUGGGUAGCCAUGUCUGGCAGAGAUAACCGCUGAAAGCAUCUAAGUGGGAAACUCGCCCUAAGAUUAGAUCCCUGUAUUCCCGUAAGGGAGUAAGACCCCAGAUAGACUAUCUGGUAUAUAGGCAGGAUGUGUAAGCGCAGUAAUGCGUUCAGCUAACCUGUACUAAUGGUCGAGGGCUUCAUCCCG
rnacentral:rRNA from 1 species